rnacentral:rRNA from 1 species
CCCUUAGAUGUCCUGGGCCGCACGCGCGUUACACUGAUGCAUUCAACGAGCUUAUAACCUUGGCCGAGAGGCCUGGGCAAUCUUUUAAACCUGCAUCGUGAUAGGGAUAGAUUAUUGCAAUUAUUAAUCUUGAACGAGGAAUUCCUAGUAAACGCAAAUCAUCAAUUUGCAUUGAUUACGUCCCUGCCCUUUGUACACACCGCCCGUCGCACCUACCGAUUGAAUGGUCCGGUGAAGCCUCGGGAUUGUGGCCAGUUCACUUUAUUGGGAGUUGGCUGCGAGAACUUGUCUAAACCUUAUCAUUUAGAGGAAGGUGAAGUCGUAACA